ACAUGCAAGUCGAGCGGAAAGGCCCUUCGGGGUACUCGAGCGGCGAACGGGUGAGUAACACGUGAGCAACCUGCCCCAAGCUUUGGGAUAACCCUCGGAAACGGGGGCUAAUACCGAAUAUUACUGCUGGUCGCAUGGCUGGUGGUGGAAAGUUUUUCGGCUUGGGAUGGGCUCGCGGCCUAUCAGCUUGUUGGUGGGGUGAUGGCCUACCAAGGCGACGACGGGUAGCCGGCCUGAGAGGGCGACCGGCCACACUGGGACUGAGACACGGCCCAGACUCCUACGGGAGGCAGCAGUGGGGAAUAUUGCACAAUGGGCGGAAGCCUGAUGCAGCGACGCCGCGUGAGGGAUGACGGCCUUCGGGUUGUAAACCUCUUUCAGCAGGGACGAAGCGAGAGUGACGGUACCUGCAGAAGAAGCACCGGCCAACUACGUGCCAGCAGCCGCGGUAAGACGUAGGGUGCGAGCGUUGUCCGGAUUUAUUGGGCGUAAAGAGCUCGUAGGCGGCUUGUCGCGUCGACCGUGAAAACUUGGGGCUCAACCCCAAGCCUGCGGUCGAUACGGGCAGGCUAGAGUUCGGUAGGGGAGACUGGAAUUCCUGGUGUAGCGGUGAAAUGCGCAGAUAUCAGGAGGAACACCGGUGGCGAAGGCGGGUCUCUGGGCCGAUACUGACGCUGAGGAGCGAAAGCGUGGGGAGCGAACAGGAUUAGAUACCCUGGUAGUCCACGCUGUAAACGUUGGGCGCUAGGUGUGG
rnacentral:rRNA from 1 species